UACUGGAAUUUUCCUGUCGGUUUGAAACUGAGAAAAGCUGACCGACGGGAAAAUUAGGAAAUCAAUUUUUGUAUUGGAUACCGAUAGGAAAACACCGCCAGGAAUAAAGUGAUAGAAAAUUAGCAUUUUUCUAUCGGUGAAAAAAUUCACUGUCGGUUCACCUAUUUUUCUGUCGAUACUCCACCAACGGGAAAAUGAUGAGCCGUC
rnacentral:lncRNA from 1 species